CCUACGGGAGGCAGCAGUGGGGGAUAUUGCACAAUGGGGGAAACCCUGAUGCAGCGACGCCGCGUGGGUGAAGAAGUAUUUCGGUAUGUAAAGCCCUAUCAGCAGGGAAGAAAGAAGACGUUACCGGACUAAGAAGCCCCGCCUAACUACUUGCCGGCAGCCGCGGUAAUACGUAGGGGGCGAGCGUUCUCCGGUUUCACUGGUGGUAAGGGGAGCGUAGACGGCUGUGCAAGCCAGGAGUGAACGCCCGGGGCCCAACCCCGGGACUGCUCUGGGAACUGUGCGGCUGGAGUGCGGGAGGGGCAGGCGGAAUUCCUGGUGUAGCGGUGAAAUGCGUAGAUAUCAGGAGGAACACCGGCGGCGAAGGCGGCCUGCUGGACCGCGACUGACGUUGAGGCUCGAAAGCGUGGGGAGCGAACAGGAUUAGAUACCCCAGUAGUC
rnacentral:rRNA from 1 species